CAGCAGUGGGGAAUUUUGGACAAUGGGGGCAACCCUGAUCCAGCAAUGCCGCGUGUGUGAAGAAGGCCUUCGGGUUGUAAAGCACUUUUGUCCGGAAAGAAAUCGCGCUGGUUAAUACCUGGCGUGGAUGACGGUACCGGAAGAAUAAGCACCGGCUAACUACGUGCCAGCAGCCGCGGUAAUACGUAGGGUGCGAGCGUUAAUCGGAAUUACUGGGCGUAAAGCGUGCGCAGGCGGUUUUGUAAGACAGGCGUGAAAUCCCCGGGCUUAACCUGGGAAUUGCGCUUGUGACUGCAAGGCUAGAGUGCGUCAGAGGGGGGUAGAAUUCCACGUGUAGCAGUGAAAUGCGUAGAGAUGUGGAGGAAUACCGAUGGCGAAGGCAGCCCCCUGGGACGUGACUGACGCUCAUGCACGAAAGCGUGGGGAGCAAACAGGAUUAGAUACCCUGGUAGUCCACGCCCUAAACGAUGUCAACUAGUUGUUGGGGAUUCAUUUUCUCAGUAACGUAGCUAACGCGUGAAGUUGACCGCCUGGGGAGUACGGUCGCAAGAUUAAAACUCAAAUGAAUUGACGG
rnacentral:rRNA from 1 species